AUAUUUUUGCAAGAUGAUGCUACACGUGCAUACAUUUUAAAUUUCUUAUGCUUACCUUUAAACCUAAAACACCAAUAAUUGUUAGUGGUCCUGAGUACUGAAUAAUUGUAGGGUAAUGAAUUAAAAGGUGGUGUUUAGGUUUUAAUGUGUCAUGAAAGAUUCUAACAAACAUUAAGUUAUGCUGAAAAAUUAAUUGUUUAAGAUUUAAAAUU